rnacentral:lncRNA from 1 species
GAUCCGUUCAUCACUGUUCUUCAAGGUCAAGCCCAAAAGCCCUUGGAGAUCCGUUCAUCACUGUUCUUCAAAGAUCAAGCCCAAAAGCCCCUUUGAAGAUCUGCUCAAAUCCACCUUCAAGAUCAAGUCCACGGCCCUUGAAGAACGUUCAUCCUUAGAUCAAGCCCAACGACCCCUUUGGAUCAAUCGCACAUCCACAAAUACACACCUUACGGAGAUCGAAUCAGAGGAUCAAAAUAAAGAGAGAUUGUAA